rnacentral:rRNA from 1 species
GUGCACUUCUCCCCUAGUAGGACGUCGCGACCCGUUGGGUGCUGGUCUACGGCCCGGUCGCAAGUCUGACGUGUCUCGUUUACGCGUGUCACGCGUCAGACGACUGGUUGCACCGACUGGCUGCCCGGCGGUAUUGAACGAUCAUUAAAUGGUAUUGGGCCGCAUCAAGUGCGUUCAGGCUCGUUGGCAGGCUCGCCUCGCUCGGAUUUACGGACCUAGCGCCGUUGCCGGGUGCUUGGUGUGGCUGUUGGCCGACGAUGUCCUCGGACUGGCUCUUGUAUAUUCGAACGGAUAUACCGGUCGGCGACGCUACUGCUUUGGGUACUUUCAGGACCCGUCUUGAAACACGGACCAAGGAGUCUAACAUGUGCGCGAGUCAUUGGGUCUUAUAAAGCCUAAAGGCGUAAUGAAAGUGAAGGUCUUCCUUAGCGUUGGCCGAGGGAGGAUGGCUCGUAUCACGAUGCGAGCCCGCACUCCCGGGGCGUCUCGUGCUCAUUGCGAGCAGAGGCGCACCCAG